AUUGAACGCUGGCGGCAGGCCUAACACAUGCAAGUCGGGCGGAUGAAGGGAGCUUGCUCCUGGAUUCAGCGGCGGACGGGUGAGUAAUGCCUAGGAAUCUGCCUGGUAGUGGGGGAUAACGUCCGGAAACGGGCGCUAAUACCGCAUACGUCCUGAGGGAGAAAGUGGGGGAUCUUCGGACCUCACGCUAUCAGAUGAGCCUAGGUCGGAUUAGCUAGUUGGUGGGGUAAAGGCCUACCAAGGCGACGAUCCGUAACUGGUCUGAGAGGAUGAUCAGUCACACUGGAACUGAGACACGGUCCAGACUCCUACGGGAGGCAGCAGUGGGGAAUAUUGGACAAUGGGCGAAAGCCUGGUCCAGCCAUGCCGCGUGUGUGAAGAAGGUCUUCGGAUUGUAAAGCACUUUAAGUUGGGAGGAAGGGCAGUAAGUUAAUACCUUGCUGUUUUGACGUUACCAACAGAAUAAGCACCGGCUAACUUCGUG
rnacentral:rRNA from 1 species